UAAUUUACACCAGAAACUGAAAAUUCAAAUAAUUUCCAAAUUGGAAAAAAUAUCUAGUAUUUUACAUCUAAUUCAUUUUAAGCCUACUGUAGGUCCUGCCACAAGUUUAGAACUCAAGCCACAUUCAUCACUAGUAGAAGGCUAGAUGCGCUUAUAAGAGCAUGUGUUCUCACACAAGGUAACAUUUUGAUGGUAAAUUGACAUAUAAUGUUUAGUUAAGAUCUCUAAUUAGACAUGCAAAGAAUGCAUAGUUUAUUAAUGUGGCUGUCAAUUAUUGAAAACUCGUUUUUAUUUUUAAUAAAUUAUUAUAUGUGUUGUAAUAUAUCUUUCUUUUUUUUUUUGACAUUUUUGGUUUAUUGUACUCUUUUCAAUGUGUGUGUAGGCAUCUAAAGUUUAUUGGAUUUAAAUCCAUAAAACUAUUUGGACUAUAUUUUUAAAUUGAAGAUAUAUUAGUUCAAAAAAUUUAAUUGGGCUAAUAUAAUUGGAUUAGUUAUAUAAGUUCAAUAUAUAAGGAUUAAAUAAAUAAGUCCAAAUUUAUUGGGUUAGCCCAUUUAAUUGGUCUACAAGUAAUGAGCCUACUUCAUUAGGCCCAAGAUGUCAUCUUCCUAGAGGCCCCGUGCCAUGUGUCAAAUGACGUGGCACGCCAAGUCAAACAGAAGAGCCAAUAGAAUCAUGCCAUGUGUCAAAAUGACAAGACAUGCCAAGUUAGAUUAAAAGGCCAAUGGAAUCGAACCACAUGGGCAAGUGACAUGUUCUGGCCAAUCAAAUGUGGUCCUGUCAUGCUUCAAUCUGAUUGGUCGGAAAGAGUUUAUUCUUAUCAUAAUUCUUCCCUCCCACAACUAUAGAUAGGGUCUUCAUAACCCAGAAAAGACACCAUAAGUUAUAACAAGAAGCAAGAAAGAGCUUGUGGAUCAAACGCAAAUUUCUCCACAAGUUCAAGUUCAAGCAAUCAAGUACAUGCUCAAGAACGAAGAAUAAAUCAACGUUCAAGAAAUACGAUUUCAAAUCAAAGUUCGUGCUAGUUGAAUUCAAGAUCAUCGUUCGUGGCAACAACUACAUAUUCAAGAUUAAGUUCGAAGGCCCUUGAAUUUAUUUACUAUUGGAAAGAAGAAUCGGAGGAUUCAUAGAGAUUGUACACUCAUAUUAUUUGAAAUCAAAUACUAUGAUUGUUGCAAUAUUUUUCUGUCUUGAUUAUUUUCUUGACGCAAAUUUAUUGUCAACAGUACGUGUUAGCUAUAGUAUACUACUUAUUUUAUUGAAACUUUUGUGUUUUAUAGACUUUUUACAAUUAAACUUACACGUAUUGGGUGUCAAACCCAUGAAAAAAAUUAAGGAAGACUACAUAAACAAAAUUAUAAUUCAUAUGUAAUAGGUUACAAAUGCAAUUGAAGAGAUAUGUGUGAAAAGUUGUAGGUGGGCCCCAUAUUCUAUGAUAGCUUUUGAAAAUUUCCCAUUUUUCAUAGUGAAAUAGUAAGUCUUGGGUGGAGCCAUUUCCCUUCAAAUUCACUUAAUAUUCCUUAGAGUUUGUUAGAGUAUAAAAAAAAGAUAACAAGGAACGAAAAUGGAAACAAAUUUCUGUAUAGGAAAAUCAUUUCUAACUUGUCUUCUCUUUUGUAAACUUAUAAAUACUGCUUUAAAGGUUUGAGAAUAUCUCUGUUCUUCUACUUUUUCGAAGGAUAGAACAAAUAUUUUUGUUACAUAGUAGAGCACUAUUUUUAACGCCGUUAAUUUAGGAAACCACAUAAGAAAUUCCCAGGAGAACGUUAAAUUUUUUAGACAAAUUUCCGUUAUUUGAUUUGAAAUAAUACCAAGUAUUCCACUGUGAAUCUGUAUGGUUAAUUGGAAACAAAAGUUACACCAUAUCUAAACGGGAAAAAAUGCGGGGUGGGGUUGGAACGUGGGACCCAGAAACAAAAUUGGGCAGCAUAAAGUUAUUGGGUGAAAAAAAUGUGCGGUGAUGGUUAAUGACAUAAGCCUAAGGGUAGUUUAGUCAAGAAGUUCAAAAUGUUAUACAUAAGCUACAGUAAGAUUCUUUUUUAAGCAAUUACAUUCUUCCAUUUUAACUAAAAUGACCAGUUUACCCUUUCAAUCCCAAGCAAGAAUGUUGACCUGCUACCUGCUUAUUCUCUCCGUGCCCCUCUAAGAAGGCAUGGAUAUAAUUACCAAUUUACCCUUAAAAUGUUUGAACAUGUUCGUACACCACAAUUGCCGUUUCUAAAUAAUACUCGCUCCGUUUCAAUUCAUGUGAAUCUAUUUGAUUGAUCACGAAGUUUAAGAAAAAAUAAAGAUUUUAAAAAUUUGUGAUCAUAAAUAAAUCAAAAAUGGACCCAGAAUAUUUUGUGUGGUUAUAAAAAUUUCUCAUUAAGGAUACAAAUUGUAAGUUUUAAGUUAAAUUAUUACCAAAUUUAGAAAUGGGUCAUUCUUUUUUGAACGGACCAAAAAAUAAAUAGGUUCACAUAAACUGGAACAGAGAUAGUAAUAAAGUAAUAUAUUAUAAAAUUUGAAAAAUAAAAUGAACGGGCUUAAAUCUUUGAGUAGAGUGUUCCUAUAAUUUCAAAAGGAACCAGUUGGUUCAGUAGACCCAAAGAUUUAAAUGGUAGCUACAGCAACUUCAUUUGUCAGCCAAUAGAAGAAUCAUUUUGUUUUUAUGUAAUUACAGUAAUACCCUCUGACCCGAAUUGCAACCGGAUGCAACUCAAUUUUUUUUUCCGGAGGCACUUGUCAUUCCCACCCAUAAAGGGAUGAAAAUUAUAUAUAUAAAAAGUUGAAAUUUUAAAUAGCAAAAGAUUAAAAAUUUCAAUGUUACACAAAAUUUCAAGUUUAUUUAAAUAGCUACAGUAAGAUUCUUUUUUAAGCAAUUACAUUCUUCCAUUUUAACUAAAAUGACCAGUUUACCCUUUCAAUCCCAAGCAAUUAUUCAAAUAAAAAUCAUUCGAUUAUAAUUCUUUCAAAUAAAAGUCAUUAUGUGACACCUCAUUUCAUAAUCAUAAAAACACGGGUCUCAGCCCACUUUUAUAUUUUUGCUACACCUCGUGCCCAUAUCUCUAUUACAACCGCACGGACAACUCAUGUACCAAAAUAUCAAUGUAUAUAAGAUUCGCAUGAUCAAUUUAUUUUCAAUAGCGUAAGUUUACAAUUUUUAAACCUAGUAAGCUGAGAAACUUUAUAAACUAUAUCAAUUACCUUUGUUUGUGAACAUGAAAAACUUUAUAAACUUUUUCAAAUAAAACACAGCUGAGAAACUUCUUGGAAUCUGCCAGGAAGAUAGGUAUAAUGACACAGUAGGAAUCAACACGUUCAGAUUUGCACAAAAUUUGUACAGGAAAAAAUGAGCCAAUGUAUAAUAGAGCUGUAGUAAGCACUGUUGAUAAGACCAUUAUAGUAGAAACAUUGACCUUACGAUAUCAUCACCAAUUUCUGGAGUUAUACUAAUGCUUCUUCUUCGUAAUCUUCGUGUUUCUGAUGUUGAUGCACCUUCUGACCUGUGAAACACAGAAACAAUAGGGAACUCAGAAUUCUCAAAAGGAAAAAAAAAA
rnacentral:lncRNA from 1 species